rnacentral:rRNA from 1 species
UGCCCCAGUAACGGCGAGUGAAGCGGCAAAAGCUCAAAUUUGAAAUCCUGCGGGAAUUGUAAUUUGAAGGUUUCGUGGUCUGAGUCGGCCGCGCCCAAGUCCAUUGGAACAUGGCGCCUGGGAGGGUGAGAGCCCCGUAUGGCGCACSCCGACUCUUUGCACCGCGGCUCCGACGAGUCGAGUUGUUUGGGAAUGCAGCUCUAAGUGGGUGGUAAAUUCCAUCUAAAGCUAAAUAUUGGCGAGAGACCGAUAGCGAACAAGUACAGUGAUGGAAAGAUGAAAAGCACUUUGAAAAGAGAGUGAAACAGCACGUGAAAUUGUUGAAAGGGAAGGGCUUGCAAGCAGACACGGUUUUACCGGGCCAGCGUCGAAAAGGGGGGAGGAACAAGAACUCGAGAAUGUGGCGCGCACCUUCGGGCGCGCGUGUUAUAGCUCGUGUUGACGCCUCCAUCCCUUUUCGAGGCCUGCGAUUCUAGGACGCUGGCG